rnacentral:rRNA from 1 species
GAGCCGCAUGGUUCAAUUAUAAAAGGUGGCUUUCAGCUACCACUUACAGAUGGACCCGCGGCGCAUUAGCUAGUUGGUGAGGUAACGGCUCACCAAGGCGACGAUGCGUAGCCGACCUGAGAGGGUGAUCGGCCACACUGGGACUGAGACACGGCCCAGACUCCUACGGGAGGCAGCAGUAGGGAAUCUUCCGCAAUGGACGAAAGUCUGACGGAGCAACGCCGCGUGAGUGAUGAAGGUUUU